rnacentral:rRNA from 1 species
AUUGAACGCUAGCGGGAGGCUUAACACAUGCAAGUCGAGCGAGCGGCGGACGGGUGAGUAAUGUCUCGGAACGUGCCCGGUAGCGGGGGAUAACUACUCGAAAGGGUGGCUAAUACCGCAUACCAUCAGAUCUGCCCAGAUGGGAUUAGCUAGUUGGUGGGGUAAAGGCUCACCUAGGCAACGAUCCGUAGCUGGUUUGAGAGGAUGACCAGCCACACUGGGACUGAGACACGGCCCAGACUCCUACGGGAGGCAGCAGUGGGGAAUAUUGGACAAUGGGGGCAAGCCUGAUCCAGCCAUGCCGCGUGUAUGAUGAAGGCCUUCGGGUUGUAAAGUACUUUCGGCGAGGAGUCGGUAUCCGCAGAAUAAGCACCGGCUAACUCCGUGCCAGCAGCCGCGGUAAUAC